UCUGAGAUAGCAACAUACAGUGAAUCAUUCCCCAUAACAAUUUAUAAGGUGCGAGAAUGAAAAAUUCAAGUACGAAAAGAUUGAGUGAAGCUAGCAUAUAAUAUUUGUAGUAGGCAACAAUAACACAAACCAUAGGCAAAAUCUCCUAUUAGACCGUCUCACCGAUGCGGGUCAAGUUUUUCAUAAGUAUUACGCUUUCCUUCAUAAGUAUUACAAUUGCCUUCGUAAGUAACUCUUCAACCCCUAAUUCCCUAAUAUUACAUUUUGAUUU